rnacentral:rRNA from 1 species
UACGAAGGGGGCGAGCGUUGUUCGGAAUUACUGGGCGUAAAGGGCGCGUAGGCGGCCCCUUUUGUCGCGUGUGAAAGCCCCCGGGCUCAACCUGGGAGGUGCGCGCGAAACGGGGGGGCUUGAGUUCGGGAGAGGAGAGUGGAAUUCCCAGUGUAGAGGUGAAAUUCGUAGAUAUUGGGAAGAACACCGGUGGCGAAGGCGGCUCUCUGGACCGAGACUGACGCUGAGGCGCGAAAGCGUGGGGAGCAAACAGGG